AGGCUUAACACAUGCAAGUCGAGGGGCAGCAUUUCAGUUUGCUUGCAAACUGGAGAUGGCGACCGGCGCACGGGUGAGUAACACGUAUCCAACCUGCCGAUAACUCGGGGAUAGCCUUUCGAAAGAAAGAUUAAUACCCGAUGGUAUAAUCAGACCGCAUGGUCUUGUUAUUAAAGAAUUUCGGUUAUCGAUGGGGAUGCGUUCCAUUAGGCAGUUGGUGAGGUAACGGCUCACCAAACCUUCGAUGGAUAGGGGUUCUGAGAGGAAGGUCCCCCACAUUGGAACUGAGACACGGUCCAAACUCCUACGGGAGGCAGCAGUGAGGAAUAUUGGUCAAUGGGCGCAGGCCUGAACCAGCCAAGUAGCGUGAAGGAUGACUGCCCUAUGGGUUGUAAACUUCUUUUAUAUGGGAAUAAAGUUUUCCACGUGUGGAAUUUUGUAUGUACCAUAUGAAUAAGGAUCGGCUAACUCCGUGCCAGCAGCCGCGGUAAUACGGAGGAUCCGAGCGUUAUCCGGAUUUAUUGGGUUUAAAGGGAGCGUAGGUGGACAGUUAAGUCAGUUGUGAAAGUUUGCGGCUCAACCGUAAAAUUGCAGUUGAUACUGGCUGUCUUGAGUACAGUAGAGGUGGGCGGAAUUCGUGGUGUAGCGGUGAAAUGCUUAGAUAUCACGAAGAACUCCGAUUGCGAAGGCAGCUCACUGGACUGCAACUGACACUGAUGCUCGAAAGUGUGGGUAUCAAACAGGAUUAGAUACCCUGGUAGUCCACACAGUAAACGAUGAAUACUCGCUGUUUGCGAUAUACAGUAAGCGGCCAAGCGAAAGCAUUAAGUAUUCCACCUGGGGAGUACGCCGGCAACGGUGAAACUCAAAGGAAUUGACGGGGGCCCGCACAAGCGGAGGAACAUGUGGUUUAAUUCGAUGAUACGCGAGGAACCUUACCCGGGCUUAAAUUGCAUUUGAAUAUAUUGGAAACAGUAUAGCCGUAAGGCAAAUGUGAAGGUGCUGCAUGGUUGUCGUCAGCUCGUGCCGUGAGGUGUCGGCUUAAGUGCCAUAACGAGCGCAACCCUCAUCUUUAGUUACUAACAGGUCAUGCUGAGGACUCUAGAGAGACUGCCGUCGUAAGAUGUGAGGAAGGUGGGGAUGACGUCAAAUCAGCACGGCCCUUACGUCCGGGGCUACACACGUGUUACAAUGGGGGGUACAGAAGGCAGCUACCUGGUGACAGGAUGCUAAUCCCAAAAGCCUCUCUCAGUUCGGAUCGAAGUCUGCAACCCGACUUCGUGAAGCUGGAUUCGCUAGUAAUCGCGCAUCAGCCAUGGCGCGGUGAAUACGUUCCCGGGCCUUGUACACACCGCCCGUCAAGCCAUGAAAGCCGGGGGUACCUGAAGUACGUAACCGCAAGGAGCGUCCUAGGGUAAAACUGGUAAUUGGGGCUAAG
rnacentral:rRNA from 1 species